UACGUAGGGUGCGAGCGUUGCCCGGAUUUAUUGGGCGUAAAGGGCGCGUAGGCGGCCACGCACGUCCGUUGUGAAAUCGCCCGGCUCAACUGGGCGGGGUCAGCGGAUACGGUGUGGCUCGAGCAAGCUAGGGGGCAAUGGAAUUCCCGGUGUAGUGGUGGAAUGCGUAGAUAUCGGGAGGAACACCAGUGGCGAAGGCGGUUGCCUGGAGCUUUGCUGACGCU
rnacentral:rRNA from 1 species